rnacentral:rRNA from 1 species
CGCGGCCUAUCAGCUUGUUGGUGGGGUAGUGGCCUACCAAGGCGGCGACGGGUAGCCGGCCUGAGAGGGUGACCGGCCACAUUGGGACUGAGAUACGGCCCAGACUCCUACGGGAGGCAGCAGUGGGGAAUAUUGCACAAUGGGCGCAAGCCUGAUGCAGCAACGCCGCGUGCGGGAUGACGGCCUUCGGGUUGUAAACCGCUUUCAGCAGGGACGAAGCUUUUUGUGACGGUACCUGCAGAAGAAGCACCGGCUAACUACGUGCCAGCAGCCGCGGUGAUACGUAGGGUGCGAGCGUUGUCCGGAUUUAUUGGGCGUAAAGGGCUCGUAGGCGGUUGAUCGCGUCGGAAGUGGAAACUUGAUGCUUAACGUUGAGCGUGCUUUCGAUACGGGUUGACUUGAGGAAGGUAGGGGAGAAUGGAAUUCCUGGUGGAGCGGUGGAAUGCGCAGAUAUCAGGAGGAACACCAGUGGCGAAGGCGGUUCUUUGGACCUUUCCUGACGCUGAGGAGCGAAAGCGUGGGGAGCGAACAGGCUUAGAUACCCUGGUAGUCCACGCUGUAAACGGUGGGUACUAGGUGUGGGGUCCAUUCCACGGGUUCCGUGCCGUAGCUAACGCUUUAAGUACCCCGCCUGGGGAGUACGG